rnacentral:lncRNA from 1 species
GAGGGAAAUCCAGAGGUCCCGGGGCAGGAGGUCCUGGCCUCAAGGCAUGAACCAGCUUUAUCCUGAAGGUUCUAGCUGUGGCUUUUCAUUGUGGGAGAACUUGCCUAAAUUAAACUUCCACAGCGCCCAGAGUUCUGACACAGUGAACACUGCAAUGUGUAUGAAUAUACAUAGGUUUCAGAGAGCUAAAAGCACAGAGCCUUCUCUGGUUUCAGAUAAAGCAAAAUAUUUUCCCGGCAGAGGAAAGAAGACCCUGACCCCAAUUCUGUCCAUGUCUGCCGAGGAAAAGGCCCAAAAUUCACAAAUACGGAAUAGUCUAAGAAAGCAACCUCCAAGGAAGAAGGGAGUCUAUCCCCUGAAGACGUACUCCCUCAUUGACAAGAACGGUUCGGUGAGACUCUCAAGGCAGAGGGUUUUUUCUGCUGAGUUGGGGAGCGGAAGGAGCCUGAUCAAUUCGAUUUACCGUCAACCGCUGCGAGCACCUCUUAGUGCAGACAAUCCCUGGAAGUCCAUAUCCGAACUGGUGUCAGAAAAGUGGCUCUUUCACACUCCGCACUACUGCUUCACUCCUCAGAAGUCAGUCUUCCCAAGAAGAUCUCAAAUCGAAACAAAAAUGCUGAAGACCUCACAUGACUUUGACAAGGAAUAAAAGUAAUGUUGGGCUGUUUUG